rfam:Lupinus angustifolius cultivar Tanjil chromosome LG09, whole genome shotgun sequence.
AGGUGCGAUCAUACCAGCACUAAUGCACCGGAUCCCAUCAGAACUCCGCAGUAGUGAAGCGAGCCUGGGCGAGAGUGGUACUAGGAUGGGUGACAUCCUGGGAAGUCCUUGUGUUGCACCUC